AUGAAGAAUAAUUAGUGGCAGACGGGUGAGUAAUGCAUAGGAAUCUACCUAGUAGUACGGGAUAGCCACUAGAAAUGGUGGGUAAUACUGUAUAAUCCCUGCGGGGGAAAGAUUUAUCGCUAUUAGAUGAGCCUAUGUUAGAUUAGCUAGUUGGUAGGGUAAAGGCCUACCAAGGCGAUGAUCUAUAGCUGGUCUGAGAGGAUGAUCAGCCACACUGGAACUGAGAUACGGUCCAGACUCCUACGGGAGGCAGCAGUGGGGAAUAUUGGACAAUGGGCGCAAGCCUGAUCCAGCUAUGCCGCGUGAGUGAGGAAGGCCUUAGGGUUGUAAAACUCUUUCAGUAGGGAAGAUAAUGACGGUACCUACAGAAGAAGUCCCGGCAAACUCCGUGCCAGCAGCCGCGGUAAUACGGAGGGGGCAAGCGUUGUUCGGAAUUAUUGGGCGUAAAGGGCAUGUAGGCGGUUCGGUAAGUUAAAGGUGAAAUGCCAGGGCUUAAC
rnacentral:rRNA from 1 species